UACGUAGGGUGCAAGCGUUGUCCGGAAUUAUUGGGCGUAAAGAGCUCGUAGGCGGUCUGUCGCGUCGGCUGUGAAAUCCCGAGGCUCAACCUCGGGUCUGCAGUCGAUACGGGCAAACUUGAGUGUUGCAGGGGAGACUGGAAUUCCUGGUGUAGCGGUGAAAUGCGCAGAUAUCAGGAGGAACACCGGUGGCGAAGGCGGGUCUCUGGGCAACAACUGACGCUGAGGAGCGAAGGCGUGGGGAGCGAACAGG
rnacentral:rRNA from 1 species